rnacentral:lncRNA from 1 species
UGGUGGCAAAAAACUUGAGGUGUAUUAUUGUUUGAACUGGUUGAUCUUGGGGUAGAGCAGUUUUCCUUUACUUGCCUCUGGCUUGCAGAAUGCACUACAGGUUUGCAAUUAGCAUCUACAGGUAACACCUGUCCUGUGGGAAACAAACUUCCACUGCUGUGGGCCUCAGGCAGUGCAGCUAAAUGUAAGGCGACAAAAGCUUCACAGCAAGAAGUGUCAUCAGAUUGUGCUUCUGACCUGCUGUUCAGCUUCUGUUCUGCUUACAGUUACAUAUGGAGGGACUGCUGUUUUGCAGGACAGCUUGCAAGGGCAUUCCAGUUGAGCCAAAGCCAGUGUAGAGCCAAACCCAUUCUCCUAGUCAGCAUGAUCUCCUCAAUGUUGCCCCAUGCCAGGUGAUGUUUCCUGAUAAAUUCUAAGCAUAGCCAGAAAUAGAAAUCCCUGCAGCACAGAGAGGCAAGAGUUCACCUUUUCUCCCAGAGUGAUCAUACCACUGUGCCCUUGCCUUGCAUCAACAGAGAUGCAAGUAUCUUGUCUUUGUGAAGGAUGUGAGCACCAAAUCCCCAAUUUUUAGUAUACUUUUCCCCUCUUGAAUCAUUGAUGGUAGAUAAUAAAAAAAAAUGUCACAGAGCUGCUCUGAAAAUC